GAAAAAGGAAUGGGAUGGCGUGGGAGGAAUUUGUGGGAGCCGCACACUAGUGCUCAGCGCCCCCCACACGCCCCGUGCAGACGCGCUGGCAGCGGAUUCCUCUGGAACGCCGGCGCGGGGCCAUUCCUCAUGACCUCUAACCUCUCCCCGGACGGGACGCGCGGCGCGUUCCACGCAUGCUCAGUCUUUCUGGGCCGUCACCCCACGCGUCCCCCCUUCCCCCCGACCGCCGACUGUUUGUUGACAGUGAGAACCGUGUCGAGUUCCGGUGUCCGGCCAAGGGCGAGAAGCCGCGCGAAAUCGUGAUAAAGGCUCUGGGCCGUGCCCUCCCCUGGUUUCUUCUGCUUGCUGACUGACCCUGGUACUUCUCCACGUGGCCCUGUAUGGUAUGCUGUGCUCGCUCCUCUUGGGAACUGAUCCACCUUUGGUCUGUUUAUCACUGCAGCAUCUCUCUUUGGCGUUGAACUGCUCAGUAUGCAUCCCGUCUGAGGAGUGAGCCACUCCUAAGCUCACCGCAGGAAGGCCAGGAGGGAACCAGGCAUGGAGAAGUGCAGCCCGGAGCUCUGGACUUUAAUGAAGAAUUUCCCAAUUGCUCGAUGUUGGCUCAUGUUGAUAUGUGGAGACGAAUCAAAAUAGUGCUGCAGGAAGGUGUGCAGCUGACGAAUGUACACAGUGUCCACUCCGCAACUACGCGGGGGCCAUUACCACUGUAAAUUGACCACAAUAUCAAUGGCGACCCCGGAGUUGUGCAACACCGUGGUGUGGAUUCAAACCACUGCAAGCAAGGAGUCUCUAUUCUGAGCAGGGAGUCUCUAAGACACUGUUUUUCAGGCUUUAGGGUACACCAACCCACUGAGAUGCUUGCUUAAAAUGCAGAGUCCUGAGGCUCGUGUUCUGAGAUUCGGAGAGGAGGCCCAGGAAUUUGCAUUUUUUAAAAAAAAAAAACCAAACAUUUUAAAUAGCCUUUACUUUUUAGAAAAGCUUUAGAUUUACAGACAAAUUGAGAAACUUGUACAAAGACUUCCUGUAAACCCUACACCCAGUUUCUUUUGUUCUUAACAGCUUACGUUAUGGUGGUAUAUUUGUCACAACUAGUAAACCAAUAUUGGUCCAUGACUGUGAACUAAAGCCCAUGCUUUGUUCAGCUUUCCUUCGUUUUUACCUUCUGUCCUUUCUCUGUCCUGGGAUCCCAUCCAGGGUGCCACAGUACAUUUGGUUAUGUCUCUUUAGGGUCUUCUUAGUGGUGACAGUUUGUCAGACGUUGUUUCCAAUGACCUUGACAGUUUUGAGGAGGACUGGUCAGGUGGUUUGCCAGGGAUCCUUCUAUUGGAACUUGGCUGACGUUUGUCUCAUGAUAAGAUUGGAGUUAUGGGUUGUUGGUAGGAGGACCACGGAGGCAAAAUGCCAUUUCCAUAUAUGUUGACCUUGAUCACCUGGCUGAGGUGGUGCUAGUCAGGUUUCUCUGCUGUAAAAUCGCCCCCUCCCCCUUUUCAUACUGUCCUCUUUGAAAGGAAGUCACUAUGUGCAGCCCACACUUGUGGAGGGAGUAAUGCCCCACCUCUUUGAGGACAGAGUAGCUAUAUAAAUUAUUUGGAAUUCUUCUGUACAGGAAAUUUGUCUCUUCUCCCCCAUUUAUUUAUUCAACCUUUUAUUUAUAUCAGUAUGGACUCAUGGAUAUUUAUUUUAUACUUUGAGUAUAAAUCAACACUACUUUAUUUGUUUUGUUGCUUAAAUUGUCCCAACUUUGGCCCCUGGGAGCUCUUUCAGUCGGCUCCUGUGUCCCUUUGACAUGCCCCCAUCAAUGUGGGUUUUGAGUCAGCAAUUUUAACAAGCUCCCCAAGUGAUUCUGGUACAGGUGGUCCAAGGACCACACUGUGAGAAAUGCAGCUCUGGAACGUGCCGUGAACUCUGCUAACUACAGAAGCCCGCCCGCUCAUUGAUUCCUUCAGCAAACAGGAGUUGUCCCACAGGACCUGCGGGCUGGAGACGGUCUGGAACAAUACAACUGUCUCUGCAAGUGCUGGAACAACUGGAAGGCGCAUUCCGCUGCUGCUACAGGAAGGCAUGUGCCCCACCCCAGGUGAACAGGGGUUGCUGGGGUGUUGCUCAGAGGAACCACAAAGAGGUCGCAAGUCCCUCCUUCUUCCUCCAGGCUUGCAGCCUUCCUGUAGCACCCCUACUUGGUGGAGCCCAGUGUGUGGUUUGCAGGGUCUCAGCCUAGCGUCACGAAGCCAAGUAGAGAAGCAUGGGUUUGGAACCCAGAGGCAAUAGCUGUCAUGUGGAAGCCACGCUUCAACUGUAUGAGUGACAUUUAGGAACUGUAUAUACAGCUAUCAUAAACAGUGCUGCUGUGAUCAUUCUUGUUCAGGCUUCCUGGUGCACAUGAGAAAAAGUUUCUCUAGAGGAAAACUGCUUGGCCAUAAGGAACACCAAUUUUGACAGUGGCCCGGAAUGAGAGUGCCUUUUUGGAAGCCUUGGCGUCCAGCAGAGAAAUGCCAGCACAUCUCUGGAGAACAAAACAAAACAAAACAAAAUCAGGAUUGGAUGCACUGAAGAGCUUAAGAAGAGCAAUUUAAUUUUACCCACAUCACCCCUCCCCAAGGUAGCACACCUCAGUGCAAAGAAAGACCUUCUCUGCCGGCAAUUUCACCCACCAGGGAAAGUGAGAGCAUGUGAGCGAGCUCCUGGCUUCCCCAGCUGUGCCGGAGGCUGCCAAAGAGACCCACUCCUUCCUGGCCCCGCCAGAAUACUGAGGGGUGCCGCAUGAUGGGGGAGGAGACGGACUCUGGAAGAACAGCAGCCUGGGCUCUCUGAGGGCAUCAAAGAAACGCAGAUCCUGCUGACUGCUUCUCCAGCUCCAUCAGGAAGCCCGCCCACAAGUCACUGGGGACGUCUUGCCUGCAGAUCCAUACAGAUACGGUAGAAAGGGCAACAUCUUUUACCCAAAUGGAAAAAACACUGGACUUCAGUCUGAAAACAAAGGGUUGAUUCUGACCUAAGGCAAGCCAGCGACGACACCUGUGAAAUGAGAACUAACUAUUUUCCUAUAGGAAAGGAAUUUUCCUCUUUAUUUCAACACAGCAGAGCAGAAUGCUUCUAGAUCAAUCUUCCUAAAACUUCCUCUAGUCAUGUUCUUUCAUGUACAAACACCUACAAGGGUUCCCCUCUCUCGGAAUCCGAGAUCUCCGUGCUCAGGGCCAAACCAGCCUUUCCCAGCUGACCUCCAAGACCUCCCCUGCCGCCUCUUGGGUUCCAAACUAACCUGAUAAUCUGCUUCCCGUGCUCGCUUGUUACUUUGCAUCUGUGCUCUCCCCACUCCGUCCACCUAGAGUGUUCCUUCUCUCAUAUGUGUCAGUUGAAUCCCAUCCAUCCUUCAAGGUCCAGGAUAAGUGCCUCUUUCUCUGUGAGAUUUCCUCUGAUCUAUCUGAAUCUCCCCAAUACUUGGGGACCUCCUCUUACAUCAAGUACUUUAUUGUUUAUAUAGUUUUCUCCCCAUCUCUAGAAGAAUUGAUGUUUUUCUCAAUAGUGUAUAUAUCUCCUUCAACUUUCUGUUUCCCCAUACAGCCUAGCAAGAUGGCUUUUACCUAGUAAAAAUACACUAUUUAUUACAUGUCUCAUGGACUUAAUAUGAAGUGAAUUAAAGACAUCACCGUUGUCAAUAAAAACCACCUUUGAAUGAGCACCUACUAUGUGCUAGACCCUGUCUUAAGAAAUUUUCAUGCAUUAUACCACUUAAUUGUGUCGUACAUAUUUCUAUACAAAUGAUACACUUAUCUUCAGUUUGCUUGGCUAUUUUAUAAUUACUUUAUAUUUGGCUAUUUUAUGUAUAACUCAAUAAUUCACUAAUUUGAAAUAUAGAACUUCCAAAAUUACGUAAAGUAUCAGAGGAAAUAAAAUAUAAACUUUCAUAUUUAGGCAGACUCAUGUUUAGGAAUUUCAUAUUUUUUAAUUAAAAAAACUUUGAUUUAAAGUACAUUGGGAGUUGAAAUAUCAGUGUAUAUUAGUUAAAAUGAUAACAUUUAAGGGAGGGUGACAAAAUCAAGGGGUGGAUUACUCAUAGAUUGUGCUCAUGACAACAAAAAAAUAGUAUUUUUUCUCAUUAGAUCAUGAUUAUCACUAUUUUUUUUUUCCUUUUUCUCCCCAA